GAUGAACGCUGGCGGCGUGCCUAAUACAUGCAAGUCGAGCGAACAGACGAGGAGCUUGCUUCCCUGACGUUAGCGGCGGACGUGUGAGUAACACGUUGAUAACCUACCUACAAGACUGGGAUAACUUCGGGACACCGGAGCUCAUACGGGAUAAUCGCAUGAACCGCAUGGUUCAAUAGUGAAAGACGGUUUUGCUGUAUCUUAUAGAUGGAACCGGGCCGCAUUAGCUAGUUGGUAAGGUAAGGGCUUACCAAGGGGACGAUGCGUAGCCGACCGGAGAGGGUGAUCGGCCAAACUGGAACUAGGACACGGUCCAGACCCCUAGGGGAGGAAGCAGAGGGGAAUCUUGGGCAAGGGGCGAAGUCCUGACGGGGCAAGGCCGCGUGAGGGAUGAGGGUCUUCGGAUGGAAAAACUCUGUGAUUGGGGAGGAACAGAUGUGUAAGGAACUAUGCACGUCUUGACGGUACCUAAUCAGAAAGCGACGGCUAACUACGUG
rnacentral:rRNA from 1 species